rnacentral:rRNA from 1 species
UACGAAGGGGGCUAGCGUUGUUCGGAUUUACUGGGCGUAAAGCGCACGUAGGCGGAUUGGUCAGUUAGGGGUGAAAUCCUGGAGCUCAACUCCAGAACUGCCUUUAAUACUGCCAGUCUCGAGUCCGGAAGAGGUAAGUGGAACUCCUAGUGUAGAGGUGGAAUUCGUAGAUAUUAGGAAGAACACCAGUGGCGAAGGCGGCUUACUGGUCCGGUACUGACGCUGAGGUGCGAAAGCGUGGGGAGCAAACGGAUAGAAACCCCU